UACGUAGGGUGCGAGCGUUGUCCGGAAUUAUUGGGCGUAAAGAGCUCGUAGGCGGUCUGUCGCGUCGGUCGUGAAAACUUGGGGCUUAACCCUGAGCUUGCGGUCGAUACGGGCAUGACUGGAGUUCGGUAGGGGAGACUGGAAUUCCUGGUGUAGCGGUGAAAUGCGCAGAUAUCAGGAGGAACACCGAUGGCGAAGGCAGGUCUCUGGGCCACUACUGACGCUGAGAAGCGAAAGCAUGGGGAGCGAACAGG
rnacentral:rRNA from 1 species